UACGAAGGGGGCGAGCGUUUGUUCGGAAUUACUGGGCGUAAAGGGCGCGCAGGCGGCUCUGAAAGUCAGAUGUGAAAGCCCCGGGCUUAACCUGGGAAUUGCAUUUGAUACUCUGGAGCUUGAGUACGGGAGAGGAGAGUGGAAUUCCCAGUGUAGAGGUGAAAUUCGUAGAUAUUGGGAAGAACACCGGUGGCGAAGGCGGCUCUCUGGACCGUAACUGACGCUGAGGCGCGAAAGCGUGGGGAGCAAACAGG
rnacentral:rRNA from 1 species